rnacentral:rRNA from 1 species
GGGUCAGUAGGUUGGUCGUGCCACCGGUACGUACUGGUCUCACUGAUUCCUCCUUCCUGAUGGACCGUAAUGCCAUUAAUUUGGUGUUGCGGGGAAACAGGACUGUUACUUUGAAAAAAUUAGAGUGUUUAAAGCAAGCUAACGCUUGAAUACAUUAGCAUGGAAUAAUGAAAUAGGACGAUCGAUCCUAUUUUGUUGGUUUCUAGGAUUGACGUA